rnacentral:rRNA from 1 species
UGGGGAAUUUUGGACAAUGGGCGAAAGCCUGAUCCAGCAAUGCCGCGUGUGUGAAGAAGGCCUUCGGGUUGUAAAGCACUUUUGUCCGGAAAGAAAUCCUUGGCUCUAAUACAGUCGGGGGAUGACGGUACCGGAAGAAUAAGCACCGGCUAACUACGUGCCAGCAGCCGCGGUAAUACGUAGGGUGCAAGCGUUAAUCGGAAUUACUGGGCGUAAAGCGUGCGCAGGCGGUUUGCUAAGACCGAUGUGAAAUCCCCGGGCUCAACCUGGGAACUGCAUUGGUGACUGGCAGGCUAGAGGUAUGGCAGAGGGGGGUUAGAAUUCCACGUGUAGCAGUGAAAAUGCGUAGAGAUGUGGAGGAAUACCGAUGGCGAAGGCAGCCCCCUGGGCCAAUACUGACGCUCAUGCACGAAAGCGUGGGGAGCAAACAGGAUUAGAUACCCUGGUAGUCCACGCCCUAAACGAUGUCAACUAGUUGUUGGGGAUUCAUUCCUUAGUAACGUAGCUAACGCGUGAAGUUGACCAGCCUGGGGAGUACGGUCGCAAGAUUAAAACUUAAAGGAAUUG